rnacentral:lncRNA from 1 species
UUCACGCCUCCGAUGGAGCUCAACAAGCUACUUACAUUGUUCACAUGGCGAAAUCUCAGAUGCCCUCGAGCUUCGACCACCACUCUCUCUGGUACGAUUCCUCACUCCGCUCAGUCUCAGAAUCCGCUGAAAUGAUCUACACCUACAACAAUGCGAUACAUGGAUUCGCCACUCGGCUUACUCCCGGAGAAGCCGACUCACUCAUGACCCAACCUGGUGUCAUCUCGGUUCAACAAGAGCAGAAGUACGAGUUACACACCACUCGAACUCCAUUAUUCCUUGGUCUCGACGGACAAAACGCAGGACUAUUCCCCGAAACCGGCGCCUCAAGCGACAUAGUCAUAGGAGUUCUGGACACCGGUAUUUGGCCAGAGAGCAAAAGCUUCUCUGAUGAAGGAUACGGUCCAAUUCCAUCUACAUGGAAAGGCGAAUGCCAGGCUGGGACUAACUUCACCGCUUCGCUGUGUAACCGCAAACUAAUCGGAGCUAGAUUCUUCUCUGACGGUUACGAAAGAGAUUAUGGAAAAAUCAACCAAGCCGACGAGUCGAAAUCGCCGAGAGACGACUUCGGUCAUGGAACACACACGGCGUCAACCGCGGCUGGAAACGUCGUGAAAGGAGCUAAUUAUUUAGGCUUUGCUAGUGGGACGGCUAGUGGGAUGGCUCAUCGCGUCCGAGUGUCUGUUUACAAAGUUUGUUGGAAAAGUGCUUGCGUGAGCUCAGAUAUUUUAGCUGGAAUGGAUAAAGCCAUCGAAGAUAAUGUCCACAUUAUGUCAUUAUCUAUCGGUGGUAAAUCGACAAGUUAUACAGGCGAAAUUUCCAUGGGUGCAUUCUCGGCCAUGGAAAGAGGGAUCUUUGUUUCCUGCUCUGCUGGUAAUGAUGGUCCCAGCCCAUCCAGCUUAUCAAACGCAGCUCCCUGGAUUACUACUGUUGGUGCUAGUAGUAUUGACCGUGAGUUUCCCGGGGUUGUGAUCCUCGGCAACGGAAAGAACUAUACUGGAGUUUCGUUGUUCAAUGGAAAUGCUCUUCCUGCUAAAUUGUUGCCGUUUGUUUAUGGAAAUUAUUGUAGCCGCGGAACACUAAAUCCUGAGAAGGUAAAGGGGAAGAUCGUGAUGUGCAUCAAAGAUGACAGUGUAAGGACUGAGAAAGGGGAGGUGGUGAAAGCUGCCGGUGGACUCGGAAUGAUUCUGGCAAAUGCAGCAGGGAGCGGAGAAGAAGUUCUGGCGGAUGCUCAUGUGUUACCUGUGACCGCCGUGGGACAGAAAGCCGGUGACAUUAUCCGUCGCUACGUCUUGACCGAUCCGAAUCCCACCGCUUCCAUUUUGAUCAGAGGAACGGUCGUGAACGUCCGGCCAUCUCCGAUGGUUGCCGCGUUUAGCUCGCGGGGACCUAAUACGAUAACGCCAAACAUUCUCAAACCGGAUUUGAUAGCUCCUGGAGUCAAUAUCCUCGCCGCAUGGACCGGAGCUCUGGGUCCCAGUGGACUCGGAACCACUUCCGAUACUCGUCGCGUGGAAUUCAACAUCAACUCGGGAACGUCCAUGUCUUGCCCUCACGUGAGCGGUUUAGCGGCUCUCCUCAAGUCUGUGCAUCCGGAAUGGAGCCCCGCGGCAAUUCGAUCGGCUCUCAUGACCACCGCUUACAAUACCUACAAAGACGGCAAACCGAUCCUCGACGUCGCGACGGGAAAACCUUCAACACCGUUCGAGCACGGUGCAGGACACGUGUCGCCCACGGCGGCCGUCAAUCCAGGACUCAUCUACGAUCUAACGACGGAGGAUUAUAUAGAUUUCAUCUGCGCAUCGAAUUAUAAUUCGUCGCUGAUCACAAUCAUAUCGAGAGGCAAUUACGCUUGUCCAAGAAAAACGCACCCCGCAGCUGAUCUAAACUAUCCGUCGUUCGCCGUUAACGUCAAAGGAUCCGGCACGUACAAGUACACCCGCACUGUCACAAACGUGGGAGGAGCUGGGUCAUACUCGGUUAAAGUAACGUCGGAGACAACGGCAGUCAAGAUUUCGGUUGAACCGGCGGUUUUGAAUUUCAAAGAAGUGAACGAGAAGAAAUCGUAUUCGGUAACGUUUACCGUUAUCUCAUCUAAGGCGCCAAUGUCUAACAGCUUCGGGAGCAUUGAAUGGUCAGAUGGGAAACACGUGGUGGCCAGUCCCGUGGCGAUUAGCUGGACAUAGGUGGUCCAUGAAGAAAUAUGGCGACUUGAGUAAGAAGAAAGCAACAGAUAUUGUAAUUUCUCAUGAGCCUUGGAUAUUUAAUGAAAAGUAAAAAAUUGGUAAGUACUAUUUUAGCUGGCUAGUGUGUUAUGAAUAUUCUUAUUUACUAGGCUGUGGACAUUGUAGAUACUGACAAUUAUUAGAUUAGUUUAUGAGAUAUGAAAUAUACUAGGCACUUGAUUCACGUUGCAUGAAUGUGAACCACUCAACGUAGGAAACUAUCACUAAUCAAAUACAUCUAGUGUAUCAUAACAAUGUGAUUACGAUGAGUUAAAAAAUAUGAAUCUAAUAACAUAGAGAAAAAGUAGAAACGACUCUAAGAGCUAAUCAUAACCAACUAGAGGUUUCAUUUCAAGAACCAACAAUAACAAGUUCAUAAACAUGAGGUAAUAAAAGAUAUCAAUCGAAAUAAAUACCUAUCUUCAAACAAACUAUAAAAAUGUAUGGCUUUUGUUAAAAGCAAACUCACCUCUUUCCAGUACACAAAUUUGCAGAGAAAAAUCCAAAAAAAAAAAGAAAAGGAUAAAACAAAUUCACGAAUAGUAACUCAAUUUUGAUCAACGUCCAAUUAAAACCCUGAUAUGUAAUUUUAUUUUCAGAAACCCAUCGUGGCAUUAUCACUCAGAGACUAAUACAAUUGGACCAACCUGCCAGCUUCUGAUGUUGCUAUAUUUUUAUUUUUUUUCUGUUUUAUAAAAAUAAAAACUAAUGUUAAAAGAGAGAAUGUAUCCCUGUAUUGUUAACUAUUGAUAUGAUUUAGUUAGUCUGAUCUGAUGUGAAGACAUGUUAAUUCAUACCAUACAAACCAAAGUCUCAAAUUGCCACCCACAUUAUUUGGAUCCCAACCGUCAAAAGCAUUGGUUAGUUGGUGUCUUCGACGAAACUCAUUGAGAUCUUUGCAAAGUAGUUCGUUUCUUUGCUUCUGUCUUGUGAUGAGCCUUAAAGAUAUUAAUAGACUCACAACUUACAUAAACCCUAAACCUGAUUUUAAAGUUGAGGAGGAUCAUGAACUUUAAAGAUAUUAAUAGACUCAUAACUUUGCUUCUGUUUUGUGAUAAGUUACAGCAGCCGGACUAGGAUCUUCCACCAAUGAACCGAUGCAUGGCUCACACUAAUUUGCUUCUCUUAUCUAAAACAAAUUUCGGGGAAAUAAAGCGAUGAGUAGAGCUUAUUGAUGAUUUCCUCACUCCGCUCAGUCUCAGAAUCCGCUGAAAUGAUCUACACCUACAACAAUGCGAUACAUGGAUUCGCCACUCGGCUUACUCCCGGAGAAGCCGACUCACUCAUGACCCAACCUGGUGUCAUCUCGGUUCAACAAGAGCAGAAGUACGAGUUACACACCACUCGAACUCCAUUAUUCCUUGGUCUCGACGGACAAAACGCAGGACUAUUCCCCGAAACCGGCGCCUCAAGCGACAUAGUCAUAGGAGU